AUGGACCAUAGAAUUGUGGUUCCUAGUGUAGAUGGAAGAAAGGGUGGCUUGCUUUUAGUCUGGAAGAAGGAGGUGAGGAUCUACUCCCGGGCUGCCACCCUUGAUUUCAUUGAUGUUUCGGUGGAAGAGGAUAAUGGGGAUGAGUGGAGGUUGACUGGCAUUUAUGGCGAACCAAGUUGGGAUAACAAGACUCGCACGUACCAGUUACUACGAGAUCUACACGCCCAAUCCAGGCUGCCAUGGGUUGUGAUUGGUGAUUUUAAUGAGAUCCUUCUCUCUUCAGAGAAGGACGGAGGUGCCCCUCGACAACAAUCACGUCUUAAAGCCUUUCAGGACGCCUUGUCUGAUUGCUCGCUAGAAGACUUGGGGUAAGAGGGUGACGUUUUCACGUGGUUCCGAGGUGGACUGCGGGAAAGGCUAGACCGUGCAGUAUCAAAUGCAGAAUGGAUGAGGUUACAUCCGUGGGCAGGCCUAUGCAACCUGGAGGUAGGUAAAUCAGAUCAUAGGCCCAUCUGCUUGGACACUAACCACCUUGUUGGAGUGGCAGAACACAUACCAUCCUAUGGGAGGAAAUUUGAGGCAAGGUGGCUGGCUGAGGAAACUGUGGAGGAGAUUGUAAAAACGGCAUGGCAAAAGGCUGCCGCUCGUAACAUUGGACCGGGCGUGGGCGCUAAACUCGCUGCGGUGCACCAGGAUAUGCACGCCUGGAACCGAAGGGUAUUGAAGGAGCCUCGCUUGAGGCUCAGGAAGGCAUAG
rnacentral:rRNA from 1 species